AGGAGGAUAAAGAUCCACUGGAAAGCUUUCGAGAACUGGAAAAGACUGGAUAUCAGCACUGGAUUCAGGCCAAUAUGAAGAGAGGGAGUUGUCUGGAAAACUUGAGAAGCCACUGUAGAGCUUGAGAGAAAUUUAGUGCGUUGCAUCAUAAGGAAGGUCUCCACACUGCUUGGUCGGAUUAAUCUCUCGCAAAACCCACUGGAGGAAGCUAAAAAUACCCACCACUCCAGCUGAAAAAACACCAAUGGAGAAGCAGAGA